rnacentral:rRNA from 1 species
UGUAGUCUCGCACAGAUGCAUAUCAAUAAGCGGAGGAAAAGAAACUAACAAGGAUUCCCUUAGUAACGGCGAGUGAAGCGGGAAGAGCUCAAAUUUGAAAUCUUCAAGGUUUUACCUUGACGAAUUGUAGUUUAAAGAAGUGUUUUCUGUUGAAGUUUUGGUAAAAGUUCUUUGGAAUAGGACAUCACAGAGGGUGAGAAUCCCGUCUAUGAUUGCCAUAUUUUCAGCUGUGUGAUACACUUUCAAAGAGUCGGAUUGUUUGGGAAUGCAGUCCCAAAACUGGGAGGUAAAUUUCAUUCUAAAGCUAAAUAUUGGCGAGAGACCGAUAGCGAACAAGUACCGUGAGGGAAAGAUGAAAAGAACUUUGAAAAGAGAGUUAAACAGUACGUGAAAUUGUCAAAAGGGAAGCGUUUGACACCAGUGUUGUUUUCUCGAAAAUCAAUUAAAAAGAGUUAGAUUUUGUUGUGUAUUGACCUUAACAGCUUGCAUUUCAAUUUUCUUGCUUUUUUUAAUGCACUUUUCGUUUAACAAGUCAACAUCAGUUUCUUUUGUUGUAAAAAGGUCAUUGGAAGGUGGCUUUCUUUUCGGAGAAAGUGUUUAUAGCCUUUGACUCCUGCAAUCGGAGAGACUGAGGUCUGCAGCGUAGAUCCUUCGGGGUUAGAUACAUUUGUGCUAAGUUAUAGCUUUUUAUAGACAACUUGUUGACUAUGAUUAGUCUUGUAGCUUACUCGCUUAUGCUAUUUUACCUACGCUUAGGAUGUUGAAGAUGUAGCACAUCAU